rnacentral:rRNA from 1 species
UAGGGAAUCUUCCGCAAUGGGCGAAAGCCUGACGGAGCAACGCCGCGUGAGUGAUGAAGGUCUUCGGAUCGUAAAACUCUGUUAUUAGGGAAGAACAAAUGUGUAAGUAACUAUGCACGUCUUGACGGUACCUAAUCAGAAAGCCACGGCUAACUACGUGCCAGCAGCCGCGGUAAUACGUAGGUGGCAAGCGUUAUCCGGAAUUAUUGGGCGUAAAGCGCGCGUAGGCGGUUUUUUAAGUCUGAUGUGAAAGCCCACGGCUCAACCGUGGAGGGUCAUUGGAAACUGGAAAACUUGAGUGCAGAAGAGGAAAGUGGAAUUCCAUGUGUAGCGGUGAAAUGUGCAGAGAUAUGGAGGAACACCAGUGGCGAAGGCGACUUUCUGGUCUGUAACUGACGCUGAUGUGCGAAAGCGGGGGGAUCAAACAGG